rnacentral:rRNA from 1 species
GAUGAACGCUGGCGGCGUGCCUAAUACAUGCAAGUCGAGCGAACAGACGAGGAGCUUGCUCCUCUGACGUUAGCGGCGGACGGGUGAGUAACACGUGGAUAACCUACCUAUAAGACUGGGAUAACUUCGGGAAACCGGAGCUAAUACCGGAUAAUAUAUUGAACCGCAUGGUUCAAUAGUGAAAGACGGUUUUGCUGUCACUUAUAGGUGGAUCCGCGCCGCAUUAGCUAGUUGGUAAGGUAACGGCUUACCAAGGCAACGAUGCGUAGCCGACCUGCGAGCGUGAUCGGCCACACUGGAACUGAGACACGGUCCAGACUCCUACGGGAGGCAGCAGUAGGGAAUCUUCCGCGAUGGGCGAAAGCCUGACGGAGCAACGCCGCGUGAGUGAUGAAGGUCUUCGGAUCGUAAAACUCUGUUAUUAGGGAAGAACAAAUGUGUAAGUAACUAUGCACGUCUUGACGGUACCUAAUCAGAAAGCCACGGCUAACUACGUG